UACGUAGGUGACAAGCGUUGUCCGGAUUUACUGGGCGUAAAGAGCGCGCAGGCGGUCGUUCAAGUCGAGUGUGAAAGCCCCCGGCUCAACUGGGGAGGGUCAUUCGAUACUGAUCGACUCGAAGGCAGGAGAGGGAAGUGGAAUUCCCGGUGUAGUGGUGAAAUGCGCAGAUAUCAGGAGGAACACCGGUGGCGAAGGCGGGUCUCUGGGCAGUAACUGACGCUGAGGAGCGAAAGCGUGGGGAGCGAACAGG
rnacentral:rRNA from 1 species